rnacentral:tRNA from 1 species
GGCCCGUUCGUCUAGCGGUUUAGGACAUCGCCCUCUCAAGGCGAAGAUCGAGAGUUCGAAUCUCUUACGGGCUACCA